ensembl:lncRNA
AGAGGACUUUCGUGUUUGCUCUGCAUCCCUACACUGACACACAGUUUUACUGCAGUCUGAGUCAUCUCCAGAAUAUCAGCUAAAUCCUGGCUGAAGACAAGAUCUCCAUAAAGCAGGGCUUGCUUUUCUUUUUAUGUUUUCCUUUCUUCUCCAGCUGACAAAGGAUAUAAGCAUGAAAUGUGAAUGGAUAUCUAUGGUCCUGCUAUUCUCUGAAGUUGUUCUAAAUCCAAAGCUAGUCAGAAGUGAGCUGUACAAAUGCUUCAACUCAGAAGCUGCCUGUUCUUCCAUCUUAACGGAACUGAAACAGUGAGCCUGAGGUCUGUGGUGACAGCUACAUCUUUUCAGAUGAGAUCAGAAGCUGAAGACAUCCUGAUUUGUAUAAUCAUCAAGAUACAAAAUUUACGCAGGAAUAGGUGUUUUUUGUGAGUACUAAGCAUCAUUAGAGGUGGAAACCUCUAAUUUAUUCUGGAAACAAUUUUGCAUAUUUCUACUGUGGAUUUUUGCGUUAGUUAUAAUAACUACUGAUUUUUUUUACCCAUAAGGGACUGCAACAUUCUCAGUGACUAGGUUUACAUAACACAGCUAGGUACAGGUCCACCGUACCUAAACCUAAAUGCCCUGCUAUUGUCCAUGCCAUAAUCUCUACAAUACAAGAGCUAAAAUUAUAUGAAUCCAGGGAAAAUGGCACUCUCAAUUAUCUAAACUCUUUACAAGGAAUCCGAAGGAGAUGGGUUUAAGCUUCACCUCCUAAGAAGGAAAGGGCCGCAGGAAGACUCUGAAAGUAGAAAUGUUAAGAACUUUAUCUCAGAGUGUGCAAGUGCAUGCUCCUAGAAGUAGAUGCCUGCUUUAAGCAAACAAUGGGAGGAUUUUAAACUCAUUUUAUCACCCCUUCAAGCAAAAAACUAUGAGCACCAGGUUGCAAAUAAAAGAGAAGGGAAAUGCACAAUAUUGCUCUGUUCAGUAUGAAAUCUCACCUGGAUUUCCAUUCUAAGAGUACUUAUUUGACCAGUCCUUGCAGGUUUUAAGGGGAAGGGAAGUUUUCAUUUCUGAAUCCUGCUAGAGAUUAAGCACCAUGCCACUCACUAAAGAAAAGACUUAGGUGUUGUCUUGGCAGACAAGCACUGAGGUAUCACCAUGGACAAGGAGGCCUGUGCAGUCUUAAAUAGUCACUGAGAAGACUUUUAGAAAUCUGUAUUUUGAAUUUAACUGAUGGAAAGGGAUCAAAGAGUUUACUUGCUGAUCGUUGUUCAGUGAUUUUGUAGCACUGUCUGGUUUCACCCAAAAAUCUGUGAAGUACUGUGCACAUCACAGAAACUAGCUCUACUUAUUAUAUUUUUUGUUACUCUUUGCAAGCUGAUUUUGCAAAGAAGUCAAGGGAUUUUCACAUGGUGAUUCUAGCAGCC